GCCGAAGUAGCUCAGUCGGUAGAGCAACUGAUUCGUAAUCAGUAGGUCGGAGGUUCGAUUCCUCUCUUCGGCACCA
rnacentral:tRNA from 12 species